AGUAAAAGUCGUAACAAGGUUUCCGUAGGUGAACCUGCGGAAGGAUCAUUAAUGAAUACUUGAGUCGCUUCGGCGCUCAAACCAUCAUUUCCAACUCUGUGCAUCAUUUUACGUCCGUGCCGCAGUUCAAUCUGCCACGGGCUCACCUUACAAACACUAGUCAAAGAAUGUAAAAAAAUACAAAACAAAUAAAACUUUCAACAACGGAUCUCUUGGCUCUCGCAUCGAUGAAGAACGCAGCGAAAUGUGAUAAGUAAUGUGAAUUGCAGAAUUCAGUGAAUCAUCGAAUCUUUGAACGCACCUUGCACUCCUUGGUAUUCCGAGGAGUAUGUCUGUUUGAGUGUCAUGAACUCAUCAACUGUUUGACUUUAUUGUUACUCAGCUUGGUUUCUGACGGUUGCUACUCGUAGCUCUGUCGUAAUACAUUAGCCGCCCUAGUUGAUCUCGGAUUGACUCAGUGUAAUAGACUAUUCGCUGAGGACGAGAUUGUAGGCCAGCUUCCAAACAUGCUAGUCAUCUUUGAAAUUAGACCUCAAAUCAGAUAGGAUUACCCGCUGAACUUAAGCAUAUCAAUAAGCGGAGGAA
rnacentral:rRNA from 1 species